rnacentral:tRNA from 1 species
CAGAGAUAGUUUAUAGAAAAUAAAACAUUAAAUUUGGGAUUUAAAAAAAAUUCUCUGA